GGCUAAUGAGAGAAUCAGCAUGGCAAGGAACAGUUUGGAACACAAAUCAGGCACGGGUAGAGACGGAGGAGGGCGUCGCUGUUUCUACCGGACGACUAAAGUUAAAGCAGCUGCAGGAGGGGAGAGGUGUGUCAUCGUGUCAGCUGACAUAACGGUGGAGUUAUUUUGCAUCCUGCGAUCCAGGAAAAGGAAAAAGCACAGGUGGAGCUAAUAACACCAACGACUGCAAUGACAUCAAAAUGUCAGCCGUGAGAAAAGACAUGAGAUCAUCAUUUUGCAGCUGAAGAGGUCAAAAAAGGACGAGUCUAUUCGCUGGCUGUUCCCUCACUGUGAUCAAGGCAAAGCAUCCUUAACCACGACAACAACUUUGCUGAAAACUUCUGGAGGAGUUUGUUCGAGACCGUCAGGAGCACCCUUGUCGUUCCAGAGGUCAACAAUCAGAGCAUAUCACCUUCACAUUAAAAUGCACUGAGGAAACCUAAGCAGCCCAGCAUACGCUCAUGUGUGU